GAAGGGCCAUCGCUCAACGGAUAAAAGCUACCCCGGGGAUAACAGGCUUAUCUCCCCCAAGAGUCCACAUCGACGGGGAGGUUUGGCACCUCGAUGUCGGCUCGUCGCAUCCUGGGGCUGUAGUCGGGCCCAAGGGUUGGGCUGUUCGCCCAUUAAAGCGGCACGCGAGCUGGGAUCAGCACGUCGUGAGUCAGUUCGGUCCCUAUCCGUCGCGGGCGCAGGAAAUUUGGGAGGAGCUGUCCUUAGUACGAGAGG
rnacentral:rRNA from 1 species